AUCUGACAUGAACAGUUUAGCACAGCAUUGACAUGAUGGUAUCUGACAUGAACAGUUUAGCACAGCGUUGACAGUAUCUGACAUGAACAGUUUAGCACAGCAUUGAUGUGAUGGUAUCUGACAUGAACAGUUUAGCACAGCAUUGACAGUAUCUGACAUGAACAGUUUAGCACAGCAUUGACAGUAUCUGACAUGAACAGUUUAGCACAGCGUUGACAGUAUCUGACAUGAACAGUUUAGCACAGCGUUGACAGUAUCUGACAUGAACAGUUUAGCACAGCGUUGACAGUAUCUGACAUGAACAGUUUAGCACAGCGUAGAGGUGAUGGUAUCUGACAUGAACAGUUUAGCACAGCGUUGAGGUGAUGGUAUCUGACAUGAACAGUUUAGCACAGCUUGACAGUGAUGGUAUCUGACAUGAACAGUUUAGCACAGCGUAGACAGUAUCUGACAUGAACAGUUUAGCACAGCGUUGAGGUGAUGGUAUCUGACAUGAACAGUUUAGCACAGCAUUGACAGUAUCUGGCAUGAACAGUUUAGCACAGCAUUGACAGUAUCUGAC
ensembl:lncRNA